AGGGCCGCACCUGCAGCAUACGGACAUUCCCAGACUAGGGGUCAAAUCAGAGCUGCAGCUGCCAGUCUACCCCACAGCCACAGCAAAAGGGGAUCUGAGCCACAUCUUCCACCUACACUGAAGCUGAUGGCUCACCAACCCACUGAGCGAAGCCAGGGAUUGAACCUGCAUCCUCAUGGAUACUAGUUGGAUUCGUUUCCACUGAGCCACAACGGGAACUCCCUCAUCCACCUAUAUUUAAAGUUCACAUUCCUCUUUUUUUUUUUUUACCGAGGCCCUGUCUUUCUACGAAAUUUUCAAUAUAAUCCAAUAGUUUCAAAAAACCCUUAAAUCGAGACGUGAGGUCUUUCUAAAAGAGAGACGAUAGGGUCUUUGUGAUGGAACUCCAAGCAGGACCCUGCAACAUGAGUAUAUCAUAGGGUUGCUUAAUUACCUCUCAUCAGUGUAGGCUGACAUGUUUACUGUCCUUGAGGCCAACAGGACAUUUUGCCCAAGGAUGCACUAGGGGAGAUUCGUGGAAAAGACACACACACAAGCGCCCCUCACAACAAAGGGCAGGCUUGUUCUACUGCCUUCAUCACAGAGCCAUGGGAGGAUGAAAUGUUAAUGAAGUCUCCUGGGUGUGGAGCCAGCCUUUGGUCUAAGAGCAUUUAAGGAGCCUGAAUCUUGGUGACCCAAGAAGACAUAAAAGGCUCAAUUCUAGGAAAUUUUCCAAGAAGCCUGUCUCUGUGUUCUAGAUUCAUCCUUGAUUCCUACUCCUGUAAGUAAAGACAGUGUGACCAAAAGUUUCUCCUAAACCUUCUCCUAAAACAUCACAUCCUCUGCCUGAAGUGACCCUCUCUGCUAUCCCACUAGCCUUCAUUCCCAUUGUUCAAGGUUUGAAUCAAAUGCCACCUUCUCAGGCAGACCUUCCUCAAGCUUCACUUAAAAGGUAUUUGAUUUUUUUUUCUAGGUACCCAAAGUACAAUGCUCCUCUCCUAAAGCGUUGUCCCCUGUGUUGGGGGUUAAGGUUAGGGUUAAGGUUAGGGUUAUACUAACUAUAACUGCAGACACAUUAUAACUGUGGACACACUAAAUGGCUGUAAGGGAGUUCCCGUACUGGCUCAGUGGAAUCUGACUAGCAUCCAUGAGGACACAGGUUCAAUCCCUGGCUUCACUCAGAAUCUGGCAUUGCCAUGAGCUGUGGUGUAGGUUGCAGACACAGCUUGGAUCUGGCGUUGCUGUUGCUGUGGCUGUGGUGUAGGCCAGCAGCUGUAACUCCGAUUCGAACCCUAGCCUAAGAACCUCCAUAUGCCAUGGGCAUGGGCCCUAAAAAGAUGAGAAAAAAAAUGGCCAUAAGCUCCUUGAGAACAGGUUUGUGUUUUUUCCCUCCUAAUCCUGUUCCGCCCCGCAGACAGGAGCGCCCCAUAGUCCACACAGCUUUCUCGACACUGCCUCUCAUACACACACCUUCCUUGCUGUUUCCACUCAUUCCCCUCCUUUUUAACUCACUGAAAUCUGGCUUCUCCCUUACCUGUAACUGCUUCAUUAUAACUGCUCUUGCUCCAAAAACUGCACCUCCUAAAUGCAUCUUACAUUGUUUUGCAAGUUUGGUUCCUGAUCCUUCUUCUCACCUAGGCUAUGGGCCCUCAAAGGCACAGUCCCCUUCGGUCUCCAUUUUAAGAGUUACCAUCUUUUACUCUUCUCUCCUUAACAAUCGGGGGCACAUGGCCAAAGAGAAGAGGAAUGUCCAGAACCCCGGGACCCUGUUUCUCUGGAUCCUCUUUGCUGUUACUUGGUUCACUGGAGUGAGAAACCAAAUUCAGCUGAAUUCAUUACAGGCUCCCUUGCUGUUGAUUUUGGAGUAGCUUGACAAGAAAAAUGCAGUCUUCUGCGGAAUGUGCUUUAAGAAAUCCUCCCAAUUAUUAGGCUGGAAUCUCCUUUAUCCUUGCUUCAUGCUGAAUUGGAGGCCAGAGAGGAAGAACCCAGAAAAUCAUCUCCUCCCAGUGCCUUCAGUGUAUUUAUUCACACCUACUGAGCUCUACAUCCAAAUCUUUAAGGGCCCACCUACAAACUCACCCUAGGCAUGGUUCCUCCCCAUGAUCUUGCCAUGUUUCUCAGCCCUGACAGUGGCCAAAGCUGUGAAUCUGCCCACGUCCCCUACCUGAGAAUUCCUAGAACUCCAUCUGCGUUUUCUGUUUUACUCCUGUCACCAAGGGGGAGCAAGCAUGAGGGUCUCCCUUUUACACACAUGCAACCUGGAAGUGACCAGGCAGAAGCAAGACAAGGACAGUCCUCAAGGGAAGCAGAGGAAGUGAAGAACCAGCAGGUCACCAACAAAGCCUGAGUUUUGUGUCCUACCUUACGGUUGUCUCAGGCCAUCCUGCUGAGUCCUGGCGUGCAUACAAUGAAGAGGUCAGCAGCAUGUGCUGGGCCUUUCCUGAUCCUGGGCAGUGGCUCCACAUGGCUUCACUAUCCAGGAGUGCUGCACCUGCUGUGAUUAAUGAUGAGGGUUGAGACGGGACAAAGAAUCCAGUGGAGGCCUGGGAAGAUACCACCUCGGCCUUACGCUGAGGUAGAACCUGCCCUUUUUGGGUUUUAUCAAAGAAGUAUUGAAUACAUUCUCCCUGGCUUUCAAAGAUUCCCCAGUGCAUUUUUCUAAUACAGCAGCUAUUUCCAUUAUACUGUAUUCUUGAUUCAUCAUUUUCAAAGGCAGCCUUGUAGGUUUAAGGGCUGAGAAGAAAGACAUAGGGCUGGGGGAUGGUGAGGAAGAUUACUUCAGAUGAGUGGCACUGCUAUAACUCUUGAAGUAAAAUUAUCUUUGUGAACUAAAUGGUACCUGCAUUUUUUUAAAUGGCCAUGCCCAUGGCAUAUGGAAGUUCUGGACCCAGUACUGAAUCUGAGUCCCAGCUGUGGCAAUGCUGGGCCCUUUAGCCCACUGUGCCAUGCUGGGGAUUGAACCUGCACCUCCGUAGCAACCCCAGCCACUGCAAUUGGAUUCUUAACCCACUGCACCACAGUGGGAAUUCCAGUACCUGAAUUUUAUUUCGGGUGAAAAGCUAGGCAAUUGACUGCGAUUUUAAACCAUCAGUUUUCUAUCCUUCGAAUGUUCUGAAACAGGGCUGUUGUUGCUGUAAUAUCCCAGGGAACACACGCAAACUGAUGUCAUUGCUUUGUCUGAAUAAUUAAGGGCUGACUGAAUAAUUGGUCUGCAAGUAUAAAGCAUUCUGUUGGGGUUACCUACCAUUCUUUACCACUAAUAGUACACAAAAUUAAAAUAGACUUAAAGUGUGCAGGAAGCAUGUAGGUUAGAUAAUAAAAGAGCAAAAAUCCUAAAAUAUCUAAUGCUUAGUGGAUUUUCAAAGAUUUUUGGGGGGGGAAGUAGGAAAAAAUCUGAGGGAAAAAUAAAUAGAUUGGAAACUCCCUUGUGGUUGUUCACUGGAAGCGUAGAGGCUGUACCACAGGGUAGAGGCUAUACUACAGGGCACAAGCUCUCAGACUGUGGUCUUGGGAAGUGUCCUGUUAUUUGCUUCUUUUAAGAUGCUGCUCUGCUCUGCCCGUGGCUACAGAGCCUGAUGUAGGUUUCUGAUUGGCUCAGAAGGCUCACAAUCUAAUUUCCUGGUCUGCACCCUGAAGACACCAGUAGAAAUUAAGCCAUGAUGGAUGAUUCCACUAUGUAUCCCCUUUCCAAGAGAAGAUGAUGCUGGUUGGGGCCCUGAUGUGUUGAAAACACACACCUUUCUUCUUUGUAUUCUUUUCCUUCAGAGGACCCGACUCAUGCUCUGGGAAGGAGUGAGUGUCACCACCUUACCACUAUGGGGGGGGGGGCCUAGGGAGAAGCAGAACAGUUGGGGGGCUGUCACCCCCCUACAUGCAUCACACUCUUCAUUGAGGGGGUCCUGGGGGGUGCUCUACUCUGAGAUGGGGCAACGGUCUAUGAACACAUCUUGUAAGGUUCUAGAAGUAUGAACCAAGCUGGCAGGUGUUGGCACAACUCCCAGCAAGAAGGCCAAUGUGGAUAUUUGCUCAUGCCCUGCUGCCAACCACCAACCUCUGCCCCCUUGGAAAGGACUGGUCUCUCCACCCUCAAACCCUUGUGGCCUCUACCCAUGCCUGGGUAUCUGCUAACUGGCAGUGAGUGAUGGCAACACCAGCCAGGCAUGUAUAGAGUCUGUGUUGAGCUGGUAGCUAAUUUCACAACCUCCAUAUGCACAUGAAAGUGGCAGCUACCUUCUGAGCAGCCAAAUCUUCUGUGCCAUGGAAUUCCCAUUACGGGCCAGCGGGUUAUGAACCUGACUAGUACCCACGAGGAUGCAGGCUGGACCCCUGACCCUGCUCAGUGGGUUAAGGAUCUGUUGUUGCCAUGAGCUAUGGUGUAGGUCACAGACGAGGCUCGGAUCUGGCAUUGCUGAAGCUACGGUGUAGACUGGCAGCUACAGCUGUGAUUCGACCUCUAGCCGGGGAACUUCCAUAAGCUGCAGUGCAGCCCUAAAAAAAAAAAAAAAAAAAAGCAAAUUUUCUGUACCUCUAUCUAGGUUGUUCUCAACACUGACUGCAGAGAGGAAUUUCCUAGGGAGCCUGGAAAUAAUACCCAUGCCUGGGCACACCUUUCCUGGCCAAUUAAGUCAGAUUCGCUGGCAAUGGGGCCUCUUAAGAAGCUCAUCAGAUGAUUUUAACGUGCAGUCUGGGUUGAGAAUCACUGAGAACUCCUGAUUGGUGGCCAUAAUCCCAGGAAUAGGCCCCUGCCAAGGUUUGAGCAAGUUUUCACAACAUUAAGGAGCCCUACUCUGCACAGCUUCCAUGCUUGGGCUCCUCCGGCAAUACAUCAGUGCAGCCUGCAUGGCACCUUGGCAUGUUCAUGAGGGAUUCAGAGAUAAAGGCUGGUUCCAUACCGGCAGGGCAGGCUCUGAGCCACAUUCAGGGAGCAUGAUCAGGUAGGUGCAGGGACUCUGCCAUCCCAGAGAGAAGUGAAAAGUUCCCUGCCAAGGUGGAAGCCAGAACAGCUUGUAUUACGAGUGGGGGUCUGGCAGAGGGAACCUGCCAGCGGAAAGGACGGUGUGUGGGGGUGAAGCAGCACCAUUUGUCAGGGGACUAGGAUGGCAGCGCCUGGAGAGCUGGCUUUCUGGGUCCUCUCUGCUCUUUCCCAAGAGCCUUGACCUGAGCUGGACACCAUCCGGUACAUAACAAAUAUUAGUGGACUGAAUGAAUGAAUGAACACAUGCACCUGACCUUCCUGAGCGUGUAUGGGAUGCUGGGAGAUGAAGCUGGAAGACCAGAAGGAUUCCCACUGAGGAAUCCUGCACCACGUUAAUUAGACUUUACCCAGAAGCCAGUCCUUCUCAGCGGGUUCCACAGUGAGGACCCAAACCGAGCAAGGAAAAACAUCCUCUCAGACCCUCCCAUAGUCAAAGUAGUACUUUUAGUGACACUGAUUGGGAAAAUGCAUCUAGACUAAAAAAUUACUGCAAAUUUUGUGAUUUUUUUUUUAAAAGUGAAUUUUAUUUGUGAUCACAGCAGAAACAUACAAGUAAUAUACUUCUCAGCACUGAAGGGUAAGGAAUGUUUUACCUUUAUUUUUCUAAAGCGAAUCAUGACCAUUUGAGCUCCUUCUAACAAAAGUAGAUGAGAAUGUCUUUCUUUUUUUUUUUUCUUUUUUCUUUUUGUCUUUUGUCUUUUUUAGGGCUGCACCUGCAGCAUAUGGAGGUUCCCAGGCUAGAGUUCGAAUUGGACCUGUGGCUGCCGGCCUAUACCA
rnacentral:lncRNA from 1 species